rnacentral:ncRNA from 1 species
GCAUAUUCGAGGAAGAAGAUUAAAUAGUGGAUUUUUUCUAGAGACGUUAUGGCUGGUGGAAAUAACGAAAAAGAAGCUAUGGGACACUUUGGAGAAUGCUUUAAAAAAGCACGUGGCUCGCGUUAAGAGCUAAAGGGCAUACUGAAAGGUAUGAACUAAGGUGGUACCGCGUUGAAACGUCCUUAGA